GAUGAACGCUGGCGGCGUGCCUAAUACAUGCAAGUCGAGCGAACAGACGAGGAGCUUGCUCCUCUGACGUUAGCGGCGGACGGGUGAGUAACACGUGGAUAACCUACCUAUAAGACUGGGAUAACUUCGGGAAACCGGAGCUAAUACCGGAUAAUAUUUUGAACCGCAUGGUUCAAUAGUGAAAGACGGUUUUGCUGUCACUUAUAGAUGGAUCCGCGCCGCAUUAGCUAGUUGGUAAGGUAACGGCUUACCAAGGCAACGAUGCGUAGCCGACCUGAGAGGGUGAUCGGCCAAAAUGGAACUGAGACACGGUCCAGACUCCUAAGGGAGGCAGCAGUAGGGAAUCUUCCGCAAUGGGCGAAAGCCUGACGGAGCAACGCCGCGUGAGUGAUGAAGGUCUUCGGAUCGUAAAACUCUGUUAUUAGGGAAGAGCAAAUGUGUAAGUAACUAUGCACGUCUUGACGGUACCUAAUCAGAAAGCCACGGCUAACUACGUG
rnacentral:rRNA from 1 species